AGUUACCUGCCCCUGAGAUUACCCCAAAUAAGUGGCUUGCCCGGCUAUAGACUACACGUGAAAAUCAAAUAAAAAAAAACAAAAAAAAUAUAGAAUUCUGUACCAGUCCUAUCAAUGACAUUGUCAGUGUCAGUUCUAGCUAGGCGCCGUUGAACGUUUUAAUAGCCAGAGCAACAGAAAUAAAUUAGUGUAGAUGUGAUAUAUACGCGCUGCAUUUUGAACAAUCUUAUGAAUAUUUUUUAUUUUCUACUUUUGCAAUCUGUUUUUUUUUCAAUUUUGUUAUUUUAGUCUGAUGCUGAUUUUUUAAAAAAUAAGUCAGUGUUCAUGUAAUUUACUUUUUUUUGUUCACAUUUGUUACAAUGUCACAAAUGUGUUUCCUAUUCUAAUUAAAAUCUGGGACCAAAAUUUUAUUAUUGUUCCAGUUAAAAUAUACAAACCAGGGUAUGAAUUUUUUAAAACUAACGCAGAGAUAUAGAUAAAUCUACAUCUCUAAUAAACGUUAUUGCUAUGACGAAACUGGUAAUAUCUUUUUCUAAAUUUAUAUACUAUUGGAUGCACGUUAACUUGUGUGCAAGAUUUCAGAUUAUUCGCUCACUCUAUUUUUCCAGUAUAAGUGCAAAAUGACCCAAAAAUGAAAAGUGGUUAAACGCUUUUAAAACCCAAAUCGGACAAGAAUUACACAUAAUCGCGGAUUUAGAUAUUACAUUGUAAUUAAGAUCCUUGACAAAAUAGAAUUUAUAUCGAAAUCAAAUCAGAGUACAUAUAUUUAUUAUAUACCUAUAAAUGAAAUAUUGAGAAAUAUUGAUGAAAUAAAACGCUUAUUUUCAUUUUCGUACUUCACUGUAAAAAAGGAUUUUAGUGAAACAUAUUUUCUGUGUAUUCACUGGUGUCUUGCCGGACUUCUCUCUUUCAAAUUUAAGGAAUAGUUUUCUAAAUUGUAAUUUAAGAAUAGAGACAAAUGUAUAUAAUAAACAAAAAAUUCAAGUUUUUUCUAUAAAUACAUGAUUUAUUUUCAUAUUGUGGCAUGAAAAUUAUCACAUUUCACUCGUGGAUACCGCCACUCAUGAAAUAUUUAUUCUCAUACCACUUGAUGAAAAUAAAUCGUGUAUUUACAGAAAAAACUUGAAUAUCCCCUAUACAUUUUAACAUCUUUUGUAUAUUUGUCCUGCAGUUUAUCUAUGUACGAAUUUAUUUUUUAUGUGUUUAGGUUUUAGGACCUCAGUGGAGAUCCUUUAAUUAAAUACCUUAACAAACUUAUAUAUUAUAAACCGUUUUUAACUUUAAGGUCCCAGCUUCUUUCAAUAUUUCAUUUUGAUACCACUUCCAAUUGUUCUUGCGUCUUAAUGCCCGAAUGACGAAUAAAAACUGUUUCGCGCAUGUCACGUGAUGGUGUGCCAACCACGUUAACUUUUUGGUCCUUCCGAAUUAUCCAGGCGGGGAACAAUAGUUUCAUAUAAAUACAUAGCAAAUUAAAUCGUGUGACUGAAAAGAGGUCGGAAAAUGUUUUGCUGGCGUCUUUAACGGAUUUGUUUAGUAAAGUUUUUUGGUGAGAAUCAAUCAGUGGUUAAACAUACAAGAUUGUCCCCGAGCGCUCAAGAUUCAUGGUCGAGUGAUUUUCCAUGCACUUUACUGUUAGCUACAUUUGCGUGAAGUUUGUGAGAGGGACGUGACGGAAACAAAAGUAUGGCAGAUUUGGAAUUGUUUCUUUUAUUUUAGGACGUCGAAGAACUUAGUAUCAAUCAAAAAUAUAUGAAUAAUUGAUAGUUGGCAUAUGAGGUCUAACAAAGUAUUGACACGGAUGAUUGACGUGUGAUAUGUAAAAAUGAUGGCCAUGUUGAUGACAAUGUUGUUUUGAUGAGGACGUCCAUGGGUGUUACAGUGAUGAUGGAAUGACGUUGUUCAAGUGAGCAUCAGCAGACGUAAAGCAGGAAAUGGCGGGAAGAAUCCUAGCAGACGACAGUUGUCGCGCAGAUGCAAUCAUGCACCAUAUCAGACUGCCCGAAAUUACAGGCUGGCCCAGCUCUAUACUGGACUCGCUUUCAGCAUGUUACAGUAGGGUUUGAAAAAGGAAAUCAUAACUUUGUAACGUAGCAGACGACAAUAAAUUUUAAAGUGGAAAUUUGCGACUUCCGGUGUGUCUGCUACUCGAUGUUGUGAUCUUAGUUACUUCCCCUGACGUUCAGUAUAUGAAAUGAGGGUCGAGGUAAGUAAAGAUAUUUUGAAGAAAUACAAAAUUUAGCUAAACAUAGAACAAUACAUUUUACAGAUAAGGCUUUGUGAGUCGCUGAUUACACCUUUAACUCCGCAAAAUAUUUUAAAUGGACUUGCCCAUCUUCAAAUCUG